rnacentral:rRNA from 1 species
UACGAAGGGGGCUAGCGUUGCUCGGAAUCACUGGGCGUAAAGCGCACGUAGGCGGAUUGUUAAGUCAGGGGUGAAAUCCUGGAGCUCAACUCCAGAACUGCCUUUGAUACUGGCGAUCUUGAGUCCGGGAGAGGUGAGUGGAACUGCGAGUGUAGAGGUGAAAUUCGUAGAUAUUCGCAAGAACACCAGUGGCGAAGGCGGCUCACUGGCCCGGUACUGACGCUGAGGUGCGAAAGCGUGGGGAGCAAACCGG